rnacentral:rRNA from 1 species
CCGGCGCACGGGUGAGUAACACGUAUCCAACCUGCCGUCUACUCUUGGCCAGCCUUCUGAAAGGAAGAUUAAUCCAGGAUGGGAUCAUGAGUUCACAUGUCCGCAUGAUUAAAGGUAUUUUCCGGUAGACGAUGGGGAUGCGUUCCAUUAGAUAGUGGGCGGGGUAACGGCCCACCUAGUCAACGAUGGAUAGGGGUUCUGAGAGGAAGGUCCCCCACAUUGGAACUGAGACACGGUCCAA